GAUGAACGCUGGCGGCGUGCUUAACACAUGCAAGUCGAACGAUGAAGCCCAGCUUGCUGGGUGGAUUAGUGGCGAACGGGUGAGUAACACGUGAGUAACCUGCCCUUAACUCUGGGAUAAGCCUGGGAAACUGGGUCUAAUACCGGAUAGGAGCGUCCACCGCAUGGUGGGUGUUGGAAAGAUUUAUCGGUUUUGGAUGGACUCGCGGCCUAUCAGCUUGUUGGUGAGGUAAUGGCUCACCAAGGCGACGACGGGUAGCCGGCCUGAGAGGGUGACCGGCCACACUGGGACUGGGACACGGGCCAGACUCCUACGGGAGGCAGGAGUGGGGAAUAUUGGACAAUGGGCGCAAGCCUGAUGCAGCGACGCCGCGUGAGGGAUGACGGCCUUCGGGUUGUAAACCUCUUUCAGUAGGGAAGAAGCGAAAGUGACGGUACCUGCAGAAGAAGCACCGGCUAACUACGUGC
rnacentral:rRNA from 1 species